rnacentral:tRNA from 1 species
GGGCGUAUAGAUCAGCGGUAGAUCGCGAGAUUGCAGACCUUGAGGUCCAUGGUUCGAAUCCGUGUGCGCCCU